GUUUCCGUAGUGUAGUGGUUAUCACGUGCGCCUCACACGCGCAAGGUCCCCCGGUUCGACCCCCGGGCGGAAACA
rnacentral:tRNA from 1 species